rnacentral:rRNA from 1 species
GGCGCAAGCCUGAUCCAGCAAUGCCGCGUGCAGGAAGAAGGCCUUCGGGUUGUAAACUGCUUUUGUACGGAACGAAACGGUCUGGGUUAAUACCCUGGGCUAAUGACGGUACCGUAAGAAUAAGCACCGGCUAACUACGUGCCAGCAGCCGCGGUAAUACGUAGGGUGCAAGCGUUAAUCGGAAUUACUGGGCGUAAAGCGUGCGCAGGCGGUUUUGUAAGACAGGCGUGAAAUCCCCGGGCUCAACCUGGGAAUGGCGCUUGUGACUGCAAAGCUGGAGUGCGGCAGAGGGGGAUGGAAUUCCGCGUGUAGCAGUGAAAUGCGUAGAUAUGCGGAGGAACACCGAUGGCGAAGGCAAUCCCCUGGGCCUGCACUGACGCUCAUGCACGAAAGCGUGGGGAGCAAACAGGAUUAGAUACCCUGGUAGUCCACGCCCUAAACGAUGUCAACUGGUUGUUGGGUAUUUACUUACUCAGUAACGAAGCUAACGCGUGAAGUUGACCGCCUGGGGAGUACGGCCGCAAGGUUGAAACUCAAAUG